rnacentral:rRNA from 1 species
UAGGGAAUCUUCCACAAUGGACGCAAGUCUGAUGGAGCAACGCCGCGUGAGUGAAGAAGGUUUUCGGACCGUAAAGCUCUGUUGUUGGUGAAGAAGGAUAGAGGUAGUAACUGGCCUUUAUUUGACGGUAAUCAACCAGAAAGUCACGGCUAACUACGUGCCAGCAGCCGCGGUAAUACGUAGGUGGCAAGCGUUGUCCGGAUUUAUUGGGCGUAAAGCGAGCGCAGGCGGAAGAAUAAGUCUGAUGUGAAAGCCCUCGGCUUAACCGAGGAAUUGCAUCGGAAACUGUUUUUCUUGAGUGCAGAAGAGGAGAGUAGAACUCCAUGUGUAGCGGUGGAAUGUGUAGAUAUAUGGAAGAAUACCAGUGGCGAAGGCGGCUCUCUGGUCUGCAACUGACGCUGAGGCUCGAAAGCAUGGGUAGCGAACAGGAUUAGAUACCCUGGUAGUCCAUGCCGUAAACGAUGAGUGCUAAGUGUUGGGAGGCUUCCGCCUCUCAGUGCUGCAGCUAACGCAUUAAGCACUCCGCCUGGGGGAGUACGACCGCAAGGUUGAAAC